AUUAAGCUGUUACUAUAUAUGUCAUUUGUUUUAUGCUAACACAUGUCGAGCUAGAUCACAGAACGAUCUGUUGUACCACAGGGCAAUCACGCCUAGAGAGAAUAGUGAUGUUACUCAACGAUAUAGGCAAGUUUUAGCAAUGGUAUACACAAUACGAUGCCUCCUAGCCUAAACACUCACAGCAUAACGUUCCUAUGCAUUAUUCCAUAACUAGAUACUGUUCUGCUUCAAAAUGUGUUCACACUAUACCUACUCUAGCAUAGGCGACCUAGCAAUGUCAAGCAACUAACAUCUUUAUUUUAUUUUAUUACUCUGACAAACUAACUGUUUAGUUAAGGGUGUAAAACAUAAAAAUUGUGCAAAUUAUUAUGCCACUGUCUAACUUCUUUGAAACC